rnacentral:tRNA from 1 species
AUUUUAAUAGCUUAUAUUAGAGCAUAAUAUUGAAGAUAUUAAGGAGACUUUCAGUCUUAAAAUA